rnacentral:miRNA from 10 species
UCUAUAUGUGUGUGUAUGUGUAUGUUUAUAUGCAUAUGGUUAUACACACACACACACACACACACACACCCCUAAGCACUCACAUAU